UGGGGAAUAUUGCACAAUGGGCGCAAGCCUGAUGCAGCCAUGCCGCGUGUGUGAAGAAGGCUUUCGGGUUGUAAAGCACUUUCAGCGGGGAGGAAGGCGGUGAGGUUAAUAACCUCAUCGAUUGACGUUACCCGCAGAAGAAGCACCGGCUAACUCCGUGCCAGCAGCCGCGGUAAUACGGAGGGUGCAAGCGUUAAUCGGAAUUACUGGGCGUAAAGCGCACGCAGGCGGUCUGUCAAGUCGGAUGUGAAAUCCCCGGGCUCAACCUGGGAACUGCAUUCGAAACUGGCAGGCUAGAGGCUUGUAGAGGGGGGUAGAAUUCCAGGUGUAGCGGUGAAAUGCGUAGAGAUCUGGAGGAAUACCGGUGGCGAAGGCGGCCCCCUGGACAAAGACUGACGCUCAGGUGCGAAAGCGUGGGGAGCAAACAGG
rnacentral:rRNA from 1 species